GGGGCCAUAGCUCAGCUGGGAGAGCGCUUCCAUGGCAUGGAAGAGGUCAGGGGUUCGAGCCCCCUUGGCUCCACCA
rnacentral:tRNA from 1 species